GGCAGCAGCUAAGAAUAUUCCGCAAUGGACGAAAGUCUGACGGAGCGACGCCGCGUGGACGAAGAAGGCCGGAAGGUUGUAAAGUCCUUUUAUGACCGAGGAAUAAGGAGAAUGAGAGAAACGUUUUCCGGUGACGGUAGGUCAUGAAUAAGCAACGGCUAAUUACGUGCCAGCAGCCGCGGUAACACGUAAGUUGCGAGCGUUGUUCGGAAUUAUUGGGCGUAAAGGGCAUGUAGGCGGUAAUGCAAGUCUGGUGUGAAAUGCCGGGGCUCAACCCCGGAACAGCGUUGGAAACUGCAUUGCUUGAGUCACUGAGGGGCAGGCAGAAUUCCUGGUGUAGGGGUGAAAUCUGUAGAUAUCAGGAAGAAUACCGAUGGCGAAGGCAGCCUGCCAGCGGAUGACUGACGCUGAGGUGCGAAGGUGCGGGGAGCGAACAGGAUUAGAUACCCUGGUAGUCCGCACAGUCAACUAUGUACACUGGGUGUCCGUCCAUGAGGAUGGGUGCCGCAGCAAACGCGAUAAGUGUACCGCCUGGGGAGUAUGCCCGCAAGGGUGAAACUCAAAGGAAUUGACGG
rnacentral:rRNA from 1 species